rnacentral:rRNA from 1 species
AGAUAAGCCAUGCAUGUCUAAGUGCACGCCUUUAUACGGUGAAACCGCGAAUGGCUCAUUAAAUCAGCUAUGGUUUAUUGGAUCAUACCCGUUAAAUGGAUAACUGUAAUAACUCUAGAGCUAAUACAUGCCACGAAGCCCUGACCCGCGAGGGAAUGGGUGCACUUAUUAGAUCAGAAGCCAACCGAGUAGGGUGCUUGCAUCUUGCUCGUUGUCAUUCUGGUGACUCUGGAUAAUUGUUACAGAUCGCAUCGACCUUGAGUCGGCGACGGGUCCUUCAAAUGUCUGCCCUAUCAACUUUCGAUGGUAGGUGACCUGCCUACCAUGGUGAUAACGGGUAACGGGGAAUCAGGGUUCGAUUCCGGAGAGGGAGCCUGAGAAACGGCUACCACUUCCAAGGGAGGCAGCAGGCGCGCAAAUUACCCACUCCCAGUACGGGGAGGUGGUGACGAAAAAUACCGAUGCGGGACUCAUAAACGAGGCUCCGUAAUCGGAAUGAGUGAACUCUAAAUCCUUUCACGAGGAUCAAUUGGAGGGCAAGUCUGGUGCCAGCAGCCGCGGUAACUCCAGCUCCAAUAGCGUAUAUUAAAGUUGCUGCAGUUAAAAAGCUCGUAGUUGGAUCUCGGUAUCACUGUUUCCUGCCAUGUCUCGGGUGGAUGAGCUAGUGCGCAUAGGUUACGCUUGUGUUGUCCUAGCUUGCUGCUUUGAGCUGGCGUGGUAGCGGUGUCACCUUUCAGCCAUGUCUGCGGUGAAAUACCCGCAGGUGUAGGCGAGUGUCAGGCGGUGCUUUGCUUCAACGAGGUCCGUCGGCUCGUUUGCAUGCCUUUGGAUGCCCUUUAAAAGGUGUUUGUGGGCGGAUGGCACGUUUACUUUGAACAAAUUUGAGUGCUCAAACCAGGCCGAUGUUGCCUGAAAAGUUUUGCAUGGAAUAAUGGAAUAGGACUUCGGUUCUAUUUUGUUGGUUUUCGGAUCCGAAGUAAUGAUCAAAAGAGACAGGCGGGGACGUUUGUAUGGUUGCGCUAGAGGUGAAAUUCUUGGACCGUAAUCAGACAAACUAAAGCGAAAGCAUUCGUCAAGCAUGUUUUCAUUGACCAUGAGCGAAAGUCAGAGGCUCGAAGACGAUCAGAUACCGUCCUAGUUCUGACCAUAAACGAUGCCAACUGACGAUCCGUGGUGGUAGUAUAAUAACCUUCCCCACGGGCAGUCCCCGGGAAACCUUUAAGUCUUUGGGUUCCGGGGGAAGUAUGGUUGCAAAGCUGAAACUUAAAGGAAUUGACGGAAGGGCACCACCAGGAGUGGAGCCUGCGGCUUAAUUUGACUCAACACGGGAAAACUCACCCGGCCCGGACACUAUGAGGAUUGACAGAUUGAUAGCUCUUUCUUGAUUUGGUGGUUGGUGGUGCAUGGCCGUUCUUAGUUGGUGGAGCGAUUUGUCUGGUUAAUUCCGAUAACGAACGAGACUCUAGCCUGCUAAUUAGUGCACCUGUCCACUGUUCCUGUGUAAGCGGCGUUUCGGCGAUUCUGCUCAUGUUAUCUAAUUCAGUUGGGUGCUAGUCAAAGUGCGGUGCUGUUCGCGGUUCCGUAUGGCGACUGGUAUUUCGCUGUUUAGUUUGGGUGGAUGGACCUGCGUUUGCUUCCGGGUACGGCGCGGGUGUUUACUUCUUAGAGGGACAAGCGGAUGAAAGCGCACGAAAUUGAGCAAUAACAGGUCUGUGAUGCCCUUAGAUGUCCGGGGCCGCACGCGCGCUACAAUGACGGUGCCAACGAGUCUGACCUUCUGACCCGAAAGGGUUGGGCAAACUGGUCAAUCACCGUCAUGACAGGGAUCGGGGCUUGGAAUUGUUCCCCGUGAACGAGGAAUUCCUAGUAAGUGCAAGUCAUAAGCUUGCGCUGAUUACGUCCCUGCCCUUUGUACACACCGCCCGUCGCUACUACCGAUUGAAUGGUUUAGUAAGGUCCUUGGAUUGGCGCUAUUGAAGCGGGCUCCGAAAGGUGUUCGCUCGACAGGUGCUGAGAAGACGACCAAACUUGAUCAUUUAGAGGAAGUAAAAGUCGUAACAAGGUUUCCGUAGGUGAACCUGCGGAAGGAUCAUUACACGUUCAAACCCUAUUGACUCCA